rnacentral:sRNA from 1 species
GCCGGGCGCAGUGGCGGGCGCCUGUAGUCCCGGCUACUCGGGAGGCUGAGGCAGGAGAAUGGCGUGAACCCGGGAGGCGGAGCUUGCAGUGAGCUGAGAUCCGGCCACUGCACUCCAGCCUGGGCGACAGAGCGAGACUCCGUCUCAAAAAAAAAAAAAAAAGACAGAGUCUCACUCUGUCAUCCAGGCUGGAGUGCAGUGGUGCAAUCUCAGCUCACCACAACCUCUGCUUCCUGGGUUCAAGCGAUUCUCCAGCCUCAG